CAGCAGCCGCGGGAAUACGAAGGGGGCUAGCGUUGUUCGGAAUUACUGGGCGUAAAGCGCACGUAGGCGGACAUUUAAGUCAGGGGUGAAAUCCCGGGGCUCAACCCCGGAACUGCCUUUGAUACUGGGUGUCUAGAGUAUGGAAGAGGUGAGUGGAAUUCCGAGUGUAGAGGUGAAAUUCGUAGAUAUUCGGAGGAACACCAGUGGCGAAGGCGGCUCACUGGUCCAUUACUGACGCUGAGGUGCGAAAGCGUGGGGAGCAAACAGGAUUAGAGACCCCUGUAGUCCCUGUCUCUUAUAA
rnacentral:rRNA from 1 species